UGACGCACAGGAAGCGGGCGGGACCGGACUUCCGGCUGGUCUGUGGGGUUUCGGGUUCGGGGUUUCCUGGUGGGCGUCAGGGGCAGGCAACAGAGUGGCGGCCGCUACGGCCCUGUAACAGGGCCAUGGAGAAGCUGCGGCGAGUCCUGAGCGGCCAGGACGACGAGGAGCAGGGCCUGACUGCGCAGAUUAAUCUCUUGAGGUCCUGGAUGCCUCAUCCCUUAGUUUCAACACCAGAUUGAAAUGGUUUGCCAUCUGCUUCGUAUGUGGCGUUUUCUUUUCUAUUCUUGGAACUGGAUUGCUGUGGCUUCCGGGCGGCAUAAAGCUUUUUGCAGUGUUUUAUACCCUCGGCAAUCUUGCUGCGUUAGCCAGUACAUGCUUUUUAAUGGGACCUGUGAAGCAACUGAAGAAAAUGUUUGAAGCAACAAGAUUGCUUGCAACAAUUGUUAUGCUUGUAUAGCCUGUCGUACAUCCCAUAUGCAAGGGAUGCAGUUAUUAAAUGCUGUUCUUCUCUCCUAAGUUGAAAAUCAGAAACUUGUGGAAAAGAGCACUUGAAUGUUGGUACUCUAUGUUUGGUGAAGUUUGCUUUUCCCCAUAAAACACUCCAGGAACAACUGACGUGACAGUUGAAGACCGUUUUGUACUAAGUCUCAUUUUGUAUACUGGUAAAAACUACAUGCUUGAUUAAACCAUUAAAUGCUUGUAACUUUAAAUUCAUUAUGUGUCAUUAAUAUACUUUUCCAAAGAUAAGAUUUUUAAUCACUGCCAGUUGUAAAUUAUUUUUAGCCAAUUUUUAAAUCUUUUCAAAGCAGCUUUGAAAUGUGAAUAUUUAAAGGUAGACCUGUGCUGCAAGAUAAUUAAACUUUUUUGCUUUUAAAAAAUGUCUGCAUUUUUAAGAUUUUUUUUACUUUAAAUGUGAAACUUAUUUUAAGCUAAAAAUUGCUUAUUAUAUGUAAUAAAAAUAAUAUAUAAAUCUUUACAAUUUUGAAAUAAACCCAUCCUUGGAAAAAUAA
rnacentral:lncRNA from 1 species